rnacentral:lncRNA from 1 species
AUGAGACUGGCGACAGGGGCUUACGCAUGGAGACUGGAGAGGAAGUCUCUGUCCGGGGCAUCACCAACGUCCGGGGCGGGAGACUGGCGUCACAGACGUCGGGGGCGUGGAGAGGGGCGAGGAGAUUGGCAGUGGGGUUUGACCAGCGAGGUGAGGAGACAGGAGCGGAGAGCUGCCUUGGGGUGUUGGUGGCGUGGAGUCGAGGGAGGAGACUGGUAUCGGAGGCAUAGAGAUGAGCGAAAAGAUGCCAGACGAGGGUGUCGAGGGCAUGGUGUGGAGACUGGCGUGCGGGGAGUGGAGAUUGGCUUGGAGACAUGCGUCCCAGGAGUCGUGGGCAUUGAAGGACAGAAGCUGCCUUCCCAGAGAAUAGCAGCGUUCCCAUUGGAUUCUCUGGAUCCGGUUAGGAGACUGGUUCCUAACUCCUGCUGUUACUCAGGUUCCAGGAGGGAGGCAUGGAAAAGGGAUGGAGCAAUUGGGAGGUAUCCAGGCCACCAGGGGUCAGGGAUGUCACAGCAUCCUACACUUGGGAAAGCGUGGGAAGUCUAGAAUGCCGGAGCUCUCUUUCCCAUAAGAGGCUCUUUGGCUAGGGAAAUUGCUUGGUCUGGGCUCAAAGAGGCUGACUCAGAGAUUAGUGGGAUGUGAUUGACCUUGGAACCCUUCAGGUUCAUCUAGUGCUGUUUCUGGAACUGUGAACAGGAAUAAAAACCUGAUAAUGAAACA